rnacentral:rRNA from 1 species
UGGGGAAUUUUGGACAAUGGGCGAAAGCCUGAUCCAGCAAUGCCGCGUGUGUGAAGAAGGCCUUCGGGUUGUAAAGCACUUUUGUCCGGAAAGAAAUCCUUGGCUCUAAUACAGUCGGGGGAUGACGGUACCGGAAGAAUAAGCACCGGCUAACUACGUGCCAGCAGCCGCGGUAAUACGUAGGGUGCAAGCGUUAAUCGGAAUUACUGGGCGUAAAGCGUGCGCAGGCGGUUUGCUAAGACCGAUGUGAAAUCCCCGGGCUCAACCUGGGAACUGCAUUGGUGACUGGCAGGCUAGAGUAUGGCAGAGGGGGGUAGAAUUCCACGUGUAGCAGUGAAAUGCGUAGAGAUGUGGAGGAAUACCGAUGGCGAAGGCAGCCCCCUGGGCCAAUACUGACGCUCAUGCACGAAAGCGUGGGGAGCAAACAGGAUUAGAUACCCUGGUAGUCCACGCCCUAAACGAUGUCAACUAGUUGUUGGGGAUUCAUUUCCUUAGUAACGUAGCUAACGCGUGAAGUUGACCGCCUGGGGGAGUACGGUCGCAAGAUUAAAACUCAAAUGAAUUGACGGGGUCAUA